rnacentral:rRNA from 1 species
GGGUGACAGGUGGUGCAUGGUUGUCGUCAGCUCGUGUCGUGAGAUGUUGGGUUAAGUCCCGCAACGAGCGCAACCCUCGCCUCUAGUUGCCAGCAUCGGUUGGGCACUCUAGAGGGACUGCCGGCGACAAGUCGGAGGAAGGUGGGGAUGACGUCAAAUCAUCAUGCCCCUUAUGACCUGGGCUACACACGUGCUACAAUGGGCGGUACAAAGGGCUGCGAACCCGCGAGGGGGAGCGAAUCCCAAAAAGCCGCUCUCAGUUCGGAUUGCAGGCUGCAACUCGCCUGCAUGAAGCCGGAAUCGCUAGUAAUCGCGGAUCAGCAUGCCGCGGUGAAUACGUUCCCGGGCCUU